GGGUCAGUGGGUUGGUCGUGCCACCGGUACGUACUGGUCUCACUGAUUCCUCCUUCCUGAAGAACCGUAAUGCCAUUAAUUUGGUGUUGCGGGGAAACAGGACUGUUACUUUGAAAAAAUUAGAGUGUUUAAAGCAAGCUAACGCUUGGAUACAUUAGCAUGGAAUAAUGAAAUAGGACGAUCGAUCCUAUUUUGUUGGUUUCUAGGAUUGACGUA
rnacentral:rRNA from 1 species